rnacentral:lncRNA from 1 species
CGGAAGGCUGUGUGGGAGGGGAGGGACCCUGAGCCAGGAAGGGAGGACUGCGCAUGCGCAGGCUCUAGCCGGCGGCAGCCUUCCAGGAAGGCCUGGCACGUGUUCCAAAGAUGAGGAAAGAAGGCCAUCCCCUAGACUUGUCGGCUUGGAAUUUCAGAUCACGAAGAAAGACAGGCCUGUAAGAGCUUCAGCUGAAGAAAACACUAUUUCAUUACAAAGGAACGAGAAUCCGUCUGGCAUUAGCAACCGUGGAGGCUAGAAGACAGGGAAGCGAUGCCUUCAAAGACUAUGACCAGCCGAACUCCCAGCCAAGGGUGAAAGCAAAACAAAACAAAAAUCCAGACAGGCAGGAAUCAGAUGGUUCACCCCCAUACACGUCUUUUUAGUGGAAGUUACCUGAGACUGUACUCCAGGAAAACGAAGGCAUAUCCAAGGAAAAGAAAGACAGGCUCUGGAGACAGUGAUCUCAACGUGGGAGGACAAGAAAGAGAAGUUCUAGGAUAACAGGGAUGCGGAAGACUGGAGACGAAGCCAGGCAGCGUGGAACAGGAGAAUGGAGAUCUGGGGAGACGGGGAGCUGCACGGCCGGUGUGAUGUGGAGUCUGAAAAUGUGAAGGAGGUGAUCGAGGCAAAUGAUGCAAGAAAGCCAAAAAGCAAGUCAAUAUUUUAGUUGAUUUUCACUGUAUUUUACAAAGUAUAGUUCCAUGACAAAUUGAGGGGGACAAAAGAUCUGAUCCCUUACCGCAGGUGAUUUGAGAAGCUCUGCUCUAGCAGGAGUUGACUGUGGUUGCAAAAGCUCUGAAGAAGGAAAGAGGCGGCUGAGUUUGAGGAACUGACAGGAGGCUCAUGACUGAGAGUGGAGCUGUUUGCAGAGCUCUGAGGGCAAAAAAAAAUACAGUGACUGGGUUUUAUUCUAAGUACAGUGGGAAGCUGCUGAGGACUUUUAAACAACUUCAAGACACGUGAUAGGCUUUAGACUUUUAAAAUAAUCAUCCUAACUGCUGUAUGAAGAAUGAGUUGAAAUAAAGUAAAGAGUGUAAACG